AACUUUCGGCAAUGGAUCACUUGGCUCUCGCAUCGAUGAAGAACGCAGCGAAAUGCGAUAGGUGAUGUGAAUUGCAGAUUGUAAGUGAAUUAUCGAAUCUUUGAACGCACCUUGCGCUCCUUGGUAUUCCGAGGAGCAUGCCUGUUUGAGUGUCAUUAAAUCCUCAACCCCACCGAUUUGCUUCGGGGGGAUUGGACUUGGAGCGUGCUGGCGAAGGUCGGCUCCUCUUUAAAUGCAUCAGUGGAGAAAGAAAGCUCGUCCCAGUGUGAUAAUCCUGUUGUGCUGUGGUGGGGUGAAAAUUCCGCUUCCAACCCGGCCUCCGGGACAAGACAUCUCAAUUUGACCUCAAAUCAGGUAGGACUACCCGCUGAACUUAAGCAUAUCAAUAAGCGGAGGCU
rnacentral:misc_RNA from 1 species